GCAUAUCAUAAGCGGAGGAAAAGAAACCAACAGGGAUUGCCUUAGUAACGGCGAGUGAAGCGGCAACAGCUCAAAUUUGAAAUCUGGCUCCUUCGGGGCCCGAGUUGUAAUUUGCAGAGGAUGCUUCGAGUUUUGGUUCCUUCCGAGUUCCCUGGAACGGGACGCCAUAGAGGGUGAGAGCCCCGUCUGGUUGGAAACCAUGCUCAUGUGAAGCUCCCUCGACGAGUCGAGUAGUUUGGGAAUGCUGCUCUAAGGGGAGGUAUACUCCUUCCAAGGCUAAAUACCGGCUGGAGACCGAUAGCGCACAAGUAGAGUGAUCGAAAGAUGAAAAGUACUUUGAAAAGAGAGUCAAACAGCACGUGAAAUUGUUAAAAGGGAAGCGCUCGCUACCAGACGUGGGUUCGGUGGUUCAACCAGGUCCAUGACCUGGGGCACUCCGCCGGCCCAGGCCAGCAUCAGCUUUCCGUCGGGGGUAAAGACGUCGGGAAUGUGGCUCUCCUUCGGGGGAGUGUUAUAGCCCGUCGUGUCAUACCCUUCGGGGGGCUGAGGUACGCGCUCCGCAAGGAUGCUGGCGUAAUGGUAGCUAGUGACCCGUCUUGAAACACGGACCAAGGAGUCAACCUUAUGUGCGAGUGCCCGGGCGUAAAACCCCAGCGCGGAAUGAAAGUGAACGUAGGUGAGAGCUUCGGCGCAUCACCGACCGAUCCUGAUGUCCUCGGACGGAUUUGAGUGAGAGCAUAUAGGGUUGGACCCGAAAGAAGAUGAACUAUGCGUGUGUAGGGUGAAGCCAGAGGAAACUCUGGUGGAGGCUCGCAGCGGUUCUGACGUGCAAAUCGAUCGUCAAACAUGCGCAUGGGGGCGAAAGACUAAUCGAAUCUUCUGGUAGCUGGUUUCGCCCG
rnacentral:rRNA from 1 species